GACGAACUGCCCAAACGUUGUUCGGAAUCACUGGGCUUAAAGGGCGCGUAGGCGGCGAAUCAAGUCAGGGGUGAAAUCCGGCAGCUUAACUGUCGAAGUGCCUUUGAUACUGGUUUGCUCGAGGGAGAUAGGGGUCUGUGGAACUUCUGGUGGAGCGGUGAAAUGCGUUGAUAUCAGAAGGAACGCCGGUGGCGAAAGCGACGGACUGGAUCUCUUCUGACGCUGAGGCGCGAAAGCUAGGGGAGCAAACAGG
rnacentral:rRNA from 1 species